AAACGUUUUGCGACAUACCGUAGGGCGUUUCAUCAAGAUGGCGGCCUCCUGUGUCAAUGCUUAACUUUUUAGGUCGUGUGUUGCGGAAUAUUUACAAUACUUUAUAGGAUAUCUCAAAGGGAAUAAGUAUCAAAUUAAGUAGGGUGAUAACCCAGCAUUAUACUCAGGACAUACGUGGCGCCGUAAUGUAAAGAACUCAAAUAAAUAUGACAUUGUCGCCAGCGAGGAUGACACCCAUCAUAACGUUACAGUGGUCUCGGAUGCAGAGAAAAUCGUGGGUUAUCCGACCUUCUUCAUGAGCCUGCGCUGAGUGAUGAACUUAGUAAUGUAGCAAUGCACUUGAGGAAACUGGUUGGAACAAAACACCCGUUACUCAGCACUGCAAGCACUCAUCCCGGGCCCCACCCUUUUGCAGGAAGGUGGUUAUGAUUGAUUGAUGUGCCAUGGUGUGGCGACUGGCAUGAAUAUUAAUCAACUGCCAUCUUCAGGCUGCAGACCUGGCCAGUCUCGCCACAGGCAGACAAAAUUUUUGGGGCUUCAUCUAUGACAGCAGAAACAACCUUCAGAUGAGAGGCCUGGUGGUCCUGUUGAUGUCCCAGCCAGCACACAGCCUCAGACCUCCUGCCCCAGGACAUGGUCAGCAGCAUCUACCACAGCCAGAGCUCAUCCACACGGCCUUCCUGGUGCAUCAUGGGAUCGUCAACCUAAAGGAGUGGACCAACUUUGAUGGUCCCCUGAAGGACAUGCAGUUUGGAAACAAGAUGUCCGUUCUCAGUGGGGACUGGCUUGCACUGGACUGGCCCAGCUGUCUUCCAAAAUGCAAUCUGAUUUCAGCCUUUUACCUGUUGUGGAGUUGAUAUCGAGUGCCAUUGGUUACUUGGUGCAGGGAAUGUACCAUGAGAUCCCCAACAGUUUGGAGGUAAGACAAUUUCUAUACCACUACCAGGGUAACCCUAGCCAGCUAUAGUUACAGGUAACUGCCAAAAUAAAGGAAACGCCAACAACGUGUCUUUAGGGCGUUGGGCACCAGAACAGCCUCAAUGCACCUUGGCACAGAUUCUACAGGUGUCUGGAACUCCACAGGAGGGAUGUGAAACCCUUCCUUCCAUAAAAUAUUCAGUCGAUUUGGUGUUUUGUUGAUGGUGCUAGAAAACACUGUCUCAGAUGCCGCUCCAGAAUCUCCCAUAAGUGUUCAAUUGGGUUGAGAUCUGGUGACUGAGACACACACACUUUAAACCACCUGUGCUCCUUUUGAGACCCCCCUUUCAAAGUCACUGAGAUCUCUUCUAGCCAUGGUAGCCAAAAUAAUGGGCAACUGGACAUUGUUGUAUACAUGACCCUAAGCAUGAUGGGAUGUUAAUUGCUUAAAUAACUCAGAAAACCACACCUGUGUGGAAGCACCUGCUUUCAAUAUAUUUUGUAUCCCUUAUUUACUCAAGUGUUUCCUUUAUUUUGGCAGUUACCUGUAGUUACAUGACACAAUACAAACUGAGAACAUUCCUAAAAAAAUCUUUCCAGGCAUCCCCUACUACAGUUAUGGUCAUAGUAACUAAAAAAUUUGUUGUUUUUUUUUACAAAAAACUAAAACGUGCAUUUUACUAAAUUAUUAAUUUGGACCAACUUUUUAGUGGGCUUAAAUGAAUAACACUGUUCUAUCAGGUAUCUGCUAUUAUUAUGUACUGGAUGCUACUAGACGCUACUGGAUGCUACUGGACGUACCUGAUUAUUUGUGACGGGUAGAGCGAUACGGUUACACCUCACCCUUUGAAGAAGAGCUUUCCCAGCAGAACUCAGUGUUGUGUUCUACCUCAGAGGAGGUUCCAGUUUCAACCUGGGCUCUUCUCUCCUUGGAGCUUUAUACUGUGUUUAUAAAUCACAGUUUUUAACAAAAUAAAUAGUUUUAGUCUACAGUUUAUAUUUUUCCACUGAAAUGCUCUUAUGUACUGUAUAUUCUAUGGUUGGAGCUGUUAUUCGAAAUGUAGAUAUUUGGAUAAAAAUGUACGUCUACAUAAUGGAAACAGUCAUAACUGAAUACAUAACAUUUUAUGUAAACUGCUCUUCUCAGGACAAUAGCCUGACUGAUGAAAUCAACAUGGUCAUGUGGGAGGAGCAGACGUCCUUGUCCCAUGGUGCCUUGCUGGCAAAAAGCUCUCAGGCAGCGAUGGAGCUCAUUGCAGGAAACCUGAGUGAUUGGCUUUGCUGAAAAGUAUAGAUUCAUGCUGCUCCCCUUGACUUUCCUAAAAAUGUGAAAAUGCGAGUGAAAAGGACACAGUGGGUAUUUGCAAUCUACUGAGAGGUGGUGAAAUGUAACAUGUAAGGAUCAUGAUUAUAGACUAAUGCUGUCAUUCCCCCCUCUUUAGUUGAAUUCUAACCUGCAGCUAUUUGUAAAGACCAGCUCAGCAGACCCAGUAACCUUCAGUUUUAACUCGGCCCCUGUGGUUUUCCACCGGCAGAUUGUGGGGCAGGAGAGAUGGCGUCAUCAGCUGCAACAGCUGCGGUCCACGAUCAAGUUGGAGAAAGGUGUCACCUCGACAAUAGAUCUGUGUCGUUACCACGGCAACAACGCUCUGGAGUCCACCCAGUGUUUCCCUUCCUCUGAGGCACGCUCAGCCUUGGAGAACAUCGCUCACAUUUACAUUUACGUCAUUUAGCAGACGCUCUUAUCCAGAGCGACUUACAAAUUGGUGCAUUCACCUUAUGAUAUCCAGUGGAACAACCACUUUACAAUAGUACAUCUAUAUAUCUUUUUUUUGGGGGGGGGUUAGAAGGAUUACUUUAUCCUAUCCCAGGUAUUCCUUAAAGAGGUGGGGUUUCAGGUGUCUACGGAAGGUGGUGAUUGACUCCGCUGUCCUGGCGUCGUGAGGGAGCUUGUUCCACCAUUGGGGUGCCAGGGCAGCGAACAGUUUUGACUGGGCUGAGCGGGAACUGUGCUUCCUCAGAGGUAGGGAGGCGAGCAGGCCAGAGGUGGACGCUGUCACAAAGUUCUGACCCCCUACUCUCCUGUGGCCUCAGGACAACGUGCACAAUCAAUCGAUGCUAGAAAAACAAUCUUGGUUCCAUUUAAGCCAAUCAGUGAGCAGAAUACUCACAACCCCCUAAGUCCUACCGGUGUUUACCGGAAAUGAAACUACAGAUCACACCUUUAACUCCAUUUAACUGUUUGCUAUUAAAACAAUUCACAUCCA